rnacentral:tRNA from 1 species
GGGUCGGUAGCUCAGUCGUUAGAGCAGUUGGCUUGUAUCCAAUUGGUCGUAGGUUCGAUUCCUACACGACCCUCCA